GCUACACAUCUAAGGAAGGCAGCAGGCGCGUAAAUUACCCAAUUACGAUUAGAGAGGUAAUGACAAGAAAUCACAAUAUUAUGCCUUAAGGCUAUAAUUGUAUUGACAAAAUAUAAUAUUAUAUCUAUAAGCUAGUGGAGGGCAAGUCUGGUGCCAGCAGCCGCGGUAAUUCCAGCUCCGAUAGUUUAUGCUAACAAUGUUGCAAUUAAAACGCUCAUAGUCAAACUUUUCAGUUAGUCAAUUUUGUGUAGUUCUAGAGAAUUACAAAAAGUCGUUUUAUAUUCAUAUAACUUUUUAUUGACAUUCAUUUUUCGAUAGUGAUUAAGUUUGUUUUACUUUGAAAAAAUAACAGUGUUCCAAACAGUCGUUUAUUAUUAUUACAAAUUAUGGAAUGAUAAUAAUGAUGUUAACUAAAUUUGAAUGGUUUGAGAUGUUGGUGUAAUGAUAUUUGGAGUGUUUCGGGGGGAUUAGUAUUUUGUCGUUAGAAGUGAAAUUCGGAUUGAAAAAGACUAACAACAGCAAAAGCAUUGAUCUAGAAGCUAUUCUUGAUCAAGAACGUAAGUUGCGGGAUCGAAGACGAUCAGAUACCGUCGUAGUCUCAACUAUAAACAAUAUCAAUUAGGAUUUAGCGAAUGUUUAUAUAAUAUUGUUUGAACCUUAAGAGAAAUCAAAGGUUUGGUUUCUGGGGGGAGUAUGGUUGCAAGGCUGAAACUUAAAGGAAUUGACGGAAGGGCACCACAAGAUGUGUAUUCUGUGGCUUAAUUUGACCCAACACAGGAAAUCUAUCAGGUCCAGACAUAAGAAUUAUUGACAGAUUGACAGCUCUUUCUUAAUUCUGCGGAUUGUGGUGCAUGGCCGUUCUUAGUU
rnacentral:rRNA from 1 species